rnacentral:rRNA from 1 species
UCGAACGGUCUCUCGCAAGAGAGAUAGUGGCAAACGGGUGAGUAAUAGAUAAACAACCUGCCUUUUAAGUGGGGGAUAACACUUCGAAAGAAGUGCUAAUACCGCAUGUGGUGCUCUUUCAUAAGAAGGAUCACUAAAACCGCAAAGGUGCUUGAAGAGGGGUUUGUCUCCCGAUUAGCUUGUUGGUGGGGUAAUGGCCUACCAAGGCAAUGAUCGGUAGCUGGUCUGAGAGGAUGGUCAGCCACACUGGAACUGAGAUACGGUCCAGACUCC